GAUGAACGCUAGCGGCAGGCCUAAUACAUGCAAGUCGAACGAUAGUUGAGAGCUUGCUCUUGACGAAAGUGGCGCACGGGUGCGUAACACGUAUGCAACCUACCUUAAAUUGGGGUAUAGCCUUCCGAAAGGGAGAUUAACACCGCAUAAGAUAUUAGAAUGGCAUCAUUCAGAUAUUAAAACCGAGGUGAUUUAAGAUGGGCAUGCGUUGCAUUAGCUAGUUGGUAAGUAACGGCUUACCAAGGCUACGAUGCAUAGGGGAUCUGAGAGGAUGAU
rnacentral:rRNA from 1 species